GAUGAAGAACGUAGCGAAAUGCGAUAAGUAAUGUGAAUUGCAGAAUUCAGUGAAUCAUCGAAUCUUUGAACGCACCUUGCGCCCUUUGGCCAUUCCGAAGGGCAUGCCUGUUUGAGUAUCAUGAACACCUCAACUCUUCAUGGUUUUCCAUGAUGAGCUUGGACUUUGGGGGUCUUGCUGGCCUGUGGGUCGGCUCCUCUCAAAUGAAUCAGCUUGCCGGUUUUUGGUGGGCAUCACAGGUGUGAUAUCUAUCUACGCUUGUGGUUUUCCACCAGGGUAACCUUCAGCAGUGGAGGUUCACUGGAGCUUACAAAUGUCUCUCCUCUGUGAGGACAGCCCUUUGAAUGUUUGAUCUCAAAUCAGGUAGGACUACCCGCUGAACUUAAGCAUAUCAAUAAGCGGAGGA
rnacentral:misc_RNA from 1 species